GACGAACGCUGGCGGCGUGCUUAACACAUGCAAGUCGAACGGAAAGGCCCUGCUUUUGUGGGGUGCUCGAGUGGCGAACGGGUGAGUAACACGUGAGUAACCUGCCCUUGACUUUGGGAUAACUUCAGGAAACUGGGGCUAAUACCGGAUAGGAGCUCCUGCUGCAUGGUGGGGGUUGGAGAGUUUCGGCGGUUGGGGAUGGACUCGCGGCUUAUCAGCUUGUUGGUGGGGUAGUGGCUUACCAAGGCUUUGACGGGUAGCCGGCCUGAGAGGGUGACCGGCCACAUUGGGACUGAGAUACGGCCCAGACUCCUACGGGAGGCAGCAGUGGGGAAUAUUGCACAAUGGGCGGAAGCCUGAUGCAGCAACGCCGCAUGCGGGAUGACGGCCUUCGGGUUGUAAACCGCUUUCGCCUGUGGCGAAGCGUGAGUGACGGUAAUGGGUAAAGAAGCACCGGCUAACUACGUG
rnacentral:rRNA from 1 species